UUAUAUUUAUUUAUUAAUUAUUGGACUUCCGUAAAACUGUUCACUCGUAACGAGGUGGCAAAUUUUCUUCCCGGAAGUUUCAACAAAACUCACCUUUAGCCUAAUUUGAAUAUUCCGGACAUUUUUCGUGUUUUGACUUUUUCGAUCCGGAGUACGGUUUUCCCCGGAGUCGGUCCGGCGGAGUUUUCGGGUAUUUUAAUUGUCGAUAAUUAUCCAGUUUGUCUCGAUAAACGUGAACCGAGAUAUUUUCUUCAUCCUUAUCAUGUAAUAAUUGCAGUGGGACCCGCAGACCAAUAAUUGAGUUAAAAAGCCCCGUUUUGAUGAUUAUCUUGAAAACUAGUACCGAUUGGACCCCACUUUCUUAAUAUAAAGCUAUUAAAUACGUAUUUUCAUGUCAUAAACGAUCCAAAGGGGUACCAAUUAUUUGUAAAUAUAAAUAUACCUUUCUAGAGCUUAUUUUCACCCGUAAAAUCAUUUCACCAGUUUCUCUGCACGAAUACCGAGAGAAACCGAGCGGUGUUCUUCGUGUUCUUCGUAAUCAAACGUGGAUUUGAAGGCGUUAUUGGAGUCAGAAUCAAGCGUGCGAAUAGUCAAAUCGAAGAUAUUGAAGAGUAGAACUCAAAUCAAGCAUCAAAAACAACCUGAGAUUCACAGGUAGGGAGUAAUUGAAGUUUUAAAAUUCGAAUUAUUAUGAUUUAAAUAGUGAAUUUUUGAAAACGUGUUUGUUUGAUGGUUUUGAUGAUUCCAUGUUGUAGAGCGUGUUUUUCUCGUCGUUUUGGUAUAUUAUAUGUUGAAUUUUGACUUCCAUAACAUAGAGAAAAGUCAGUUUAAUCUUUGAAAAGUCAUGUUCUUGGUGUUCUUGAGGAGUUCGCCGGAAUAUUUGAGUUUUUCGCCGGCAAAUCGUUCUGAUGAUUCUGGGUAGAAGCUGAGCAUACCAUUUGAUAGAUCGUAGCUUGUAGAAUCUGUUGGUAGUGUCCAAUCGUGCAAAGGGGCGGUGGAAACGUCGCCAGAAUCUGUAUUUUCAAGUCGGCGGCGGAGCUCUUUGGCUCCAUUUUCCGGCUUACUCGGGGGUUGGAUGUGAGUUCUGAAACCAGGAAUGAACUCCUGACGUUGUGCAGAUUGUUUGGUGUUGAUUUGGUGGGUGGAGGAAGCCGGGAGAGUAAUCUCCGGCGAAUCGGGGCGGUGGCGGCGGAAAAUAUCCGUUUGCACCCCCCAACUUUUGGAGAUGGUGACUUUGAGGCACCCAGGUUUUCAUUCUUUCAAAACAAACCCUGAUAGUUUCAGUUUUUACAAAUUAGACCCUGUGACCAAGUUUCAAAAUCUUACAGAAUAAACCUUUUCAUUUUGGAAAUGUUUUUAAUUAUUUUUAAUUAUUUUGAUUUUCAAAAAUAGUUUUUAAAUUAUUUCUUUACUCAAAAAUAAAUCUAAUUUGAUUUAUUAAUUAAUUUUAAUUAGUAAUUAAUUAUUUUAAUUAAUUAUUAAUUGAUUUUAAUUGAUUAAUUAAUUGGACUUAAUUAUCCUUUUUACUUUAAUCAAAUCGAAAAAUAGUUUCGAGCUUUAAAAUAUUUUUCCAAAUUAUUUUCAAGGCUCGAUAAUUAUUUAUGAAUGAUUUCAAGUCCAAUUUCAAGUAUUUGGGACUUGAUUAUUUAUCUGAAAAGUGAUUCUUUUAUCGAUUUUAAUUCCGAAAAAUGUUUAAAAAUUACAGAAAUUUCCCGAAAAAUCAUUUUGAACUCAAGAUUUGAUUUGACCUCUAUUGGGGUGGGAAACCUUAUGUGUAAUGUGUUGUCUGCUAUUGGUUGGAUGUCUUAUGUGUCGAUAUAAGAGUGAGAAAACGGUUUUAAACAUAUCUUUUGAUCCGUAAGUCGGAAUCGAGUGAAACGAAAGAGAGAUGAAAGCUUAUAAAGUCUAGUUUGAUAUGACAUAAUAAUAUGAUGGAGUCGAGAAUGUGAAUAAUUGUUGUGAAAUGUGCAAUGUGAUUAUAUGUUAUUUGAUUGCUAUUAAUUGAUGAUUACAUGAUAUACAUGUUUAUUCAUGAUAGUAUACACGUGUGAUAAACGAUUUGGAUGACAUAGUUUUGUGUAAUGAUCGAUAUUGGAUAAGAAUAUAUGAAUUAUAGUGAUUGGAUUUGGUUGGUUGAUGGUUGAUUUAGAUAAGAUAACAGGUGGAUAGUCUAACAAAUAGACGAAACGCUGCCAAAUUAUCGAUAUGAUUUAUAUGAUAAUUGAUUUGUGAUAUGUUAUGUGGAAUAUGACUUGACUAUAUGGUAGAGUCAAAGCAUGAUUACGUGUUAAGUGAUAUGUGAUAAGUUUAAAGGGGUAUAUAAGUGGGUAUCGAUAUACGUGAUAUGUAUAUGCGAUAUAUUGUUUAGUGACUAUAGUAUUAUCUUAUUUUCGUAAAGGAUUUGGAGGAGACGUNNNNNNNNNNNNNNNNNNNNNNNNNNNNNNNNNNNNNNNNNNNNNNNNNNNNNNNNNNNNNNNNNNNNNNNNNNNNNNNNNNNNNNNNNNNNNNNNNNNNNNNNNNNNNNNNNNNNNNNNNNNGAGGAGACAGAGUUGAGGAUCCAGUGGUCAGGGAGUGGUGAGGAAAGUUGAUGAGAUUGGUGCAAGCUGGAAUAGUUGACAGUGAUUCUUCUUAUCGAAGAUGAUCUGACUUGGUAAGAAAUAUUGUAUAGUAUUAGUGGUGGAUUCUAAUUUCAAUACUGUAACCUGGAAGCGAUCCUGUUGUUUUGGGGGUUAAAUGUUCUCUUAAAAUUUUCUUAUUAUGGUUUUCAAGUUUGAAAUUCAGGUUUUGAAAUCAUUUGAUUUAUGUUCUCAUUCAAAGUUUUUAUUAAAUGUUUUCAAGUUUUAAAUUCUUUUGGAUUUUCAUUAUCUUUAAAUGAAAAUACCAGGUUUCAAAAGUAUUUUAAAAAGGGUUUUGUGUGGUGACGUCAGAAUCCAGACCCCCGGAUUCUCGGACUGUCACAGUUGGUAUCAGAGCAACAGGUUACAAGUUAUUGGAAUUUGAAUAUAGAUUAUAGUUUUAAGUUCUAUUGAUGAGGAAUGUUGUGUAACCUCACAUAGAGGUAUUGUGAGACUAUCUGGAAAUAGUCUAGAGAUGUGUCAGGAUUAGAAUCUAGUUAGAUGAUUAAGUUGAGUGUAUAAGUUUAGAGAGAUUUUGAUUCUUAAGUUUAGACAUAGGAUUUCUAGUUGAUUAGGAUUCUUAAGUUUAGACAUAUGAUUUCUAGUAUGUUGAUUAAUUGAGAUGGUGAAUUGUGGGAAAGGUCAGUAUUAGACCAAUAUAGAAGAGUUUGAUAGUGAAUGAUUGAAUUGAGAAUGGUGAAAAUGCAGAGUCAUAGUAUUCUGACUAUACUGCAUAUUUGAAACUGGAUUAUUGUAUUGAUUUGAGGAUGAUAUAAAUGCAUGGUUCAUAGUAUGUUGACCAUGUUGGAUAUUUGGAAAAGUAUAUUGUUUUGUGAGAUAUGAAGAGUUAGUGUAAGAUAUGAGUUGUACUGAAUCAGAAGGAGAGAUUUAUAGAUAGAGGUGGAUAGGUGAGAAGUGAAUGAUAGAGAGUAUGUGGAGUUGAGUCCAGCUAUUAGAGGUAAUGUCUGCGAAUAAGUUAGAACGUUAGUCCUCGACGACAACGCUUCGAGCUAAUCGGGGUUUCAAAUGGCAUCAAGGUGGGCCCAUAACCCACAGGUUGAUGAUCCAGACAAUCGAAUAUACAAUACCUAUCGAAGAUACGUUACGUGUUUGUGCUAUGGAUUUCAAAGGCAACUGGGAUAAAGUAGAAGAAUGUAAAUUACAUGGGCCAGAGUUAUUACGGACGAUAACGUCUACGAUGACAUCUUACGAGGCUAUUACGAGUCAAAUCGAUUGAUUAUCGAGAACGUUGAAAGGAUGACAUAAAUCGAAUAACGAUUUCGUAAAGUAGAGUGGGAAUUUGAGAAGACCUUGGCAAUACCUCUCUUCAACUAAAGAUUCUUUUGAUUAUUUUCUCAUCAGUGAGAUAUUAUCAUGAUAUCUUUUCUACAAAAGUUUUGAUAAAUGAGAUCUUCAAUUUCUCAAAUUCUAAGAUGACAUUGAUAUUGAUUAUUGGUAUGAGUUGGAAAGCAAAGAUGUGUGAUAAAGGUUUGUUGUGAAGAGAUAGUGAUGUUCCUUGAUAUUGUUUGACAUUUCUUGACAUUCCUUGAUACCCUUUCAUCUUCCUUGAUAUCCCUUGAUGUUCUUUGAUAUCUUUGAUAUUCCUUGACAUUCUUUGAUAUUCCUUGACAUUUAUUCAAUUUGAUUGGGAUGAACAACCCUAUUUAUAGGGGACACAAGGUAUACCUGUCUGUGUGAUAGGAGUUGGAUGGGACGCCAUCACUUGUGUGUGUUGUGAUUACAAGAAGGUUAACAACCUUUAGUAGUGUCUAAUAUGGACACGCAACAUUAAGUUCAUUUGAUCUUAUUGAUCUCCCAGUCACUCUUGUAUUCCAAUGUGACCUAUUUUGAAAAUAUCUUGUUCCUCCGAAAUUCCCAAAGAUUGAUUCUUGGGAAAUGAAUGUUGCAAUCGCGAAAGUUUGACUUUCCUUUUCCAUUAAAGUUAAAGGUAUGCCAAGAUCAAUCAAAGGUGGAUGACGAUAUGAUAUUACGAAGUGUGUACGUUUUAGUUUCUUCGGAGGAUUCCGAGGACGGAAUCCUUAUAAGGGGGGUAGAAUGUAAUAUCCCAUAUUAUUAAAUUUAGAUUUGAUUAUUAUAAAUCUAUUUGUCUAGAUAUUAUUGUUGGCUCUAGUUGAAUAUUGAUAUGAUUAUGUGAAUAGUUGUAUGUGAUUAUACUUGUUAUGUGGAUUAAUAUGGAUUUUACAGAUUAUGCGUCCUCCUUCUUUCUCUGAUUCCGAGGACGGAAUCCCUAUAAGGAGGGUAGAUUGUAAUAACCCGGAUUUUAAAAAUAUUUUUAUUAAUAUUAUAAAUGAUUUUCUUAAAAAGAAAGGAAUAAGAUUUAAUAUUUUAUUCCAGUUUAAGGAGUUUUCAAAAUUUUAUAUUAAACCCCGGGUUAUUGUGUUAUUGAUAAAUGAUUAUAUUUUUAAAACUGAUUUUCAUAUAUUGUUUCGAAAAUUCUAGAUGAUUAUUAUGUGAAUAUAUGUGUGAUGUGAGUAAGUGGUAUUGGUGGAUUUGUUGGUUAAUUAAUUAUGGUUAAUUAUGAGUAUUAUAUGAUUAAUAUAUGAAUUUUUGUGAAUUUUAUAUUAUCUGGUUUAUUGCGUUAACUGCUCAUAUGUGUUCGUAUUUGAGAGAUUUCAAUUUCUAUAUGCUCAGGAGAAAAUAUAGUUUAUUUGGAUAUUUUCAUAUCGAUUUAUGGAAUGUUAGAUGAUUUUAUAAUCGAUUUACGGAUUUAAUUGCGUAUAUUUAUAUUUAUUUAUUAAUUAUUUGACUUCCGUAAAACCGUCCACUCGUAACGAGGUAGCAAAUUUUCUUCCCGGAAGUUUCAACAAAACUCACCUUUAGCCUAAUUUGAAUAUUCCGGACAUUUUUCGUGUUUUGACUUUUUCGAUCCGGAGUACGGUUUUCCCCGGAGUCGGUCCGGCGGAGUUUUUCGGGUAUUUUAAUUGUUGAUAAUUAUCCAGUUUGUCUCGAUAAGCGUGAAACGAGAUAUUUUGAUUAUUAUAUUCAUCCUUAUCUUGUAAUAAUUGCAAUGGGACCCGCAGACCAAUAAUUGAGUUAAAAAGCCCCGUUUUGAUGAUUAUCUCGAAAACCGGUACCGAUUGGACCCCGCUUUAUUAAUAUAAAGCUAUUAAAUACGUAUUUUCAUGUCAUAAACGAUCCAAAGGGGUACCAAUUAUUUGUAAAUAUAAAUAGACUUUCCUGUAACUUAUUUUCACCGUAGAAAUCAUUUCAACAGUUUCUCUGCACGAAUAUCGAGAGAAACCGAGCGGUGUUCUUCGUGUUCUUCAUAAUCAAACGAAGAUUUGAAGGUGUUAUUGGAAUCCGAUGGAGGCGUAUAAAUAGUCAAAACGAAGCUAUCGACGCGUAGAAUCAAGUUUAAUCAUCCGUUUAUAUGCAGAUUCAACAGGUGAUUUUAGAUUAUUUUUCUAAAAUUCGAGUUUAUAUGAUUUAAAUGAUGAAUUUUUGCAAACGAUUCCGUUUAUGUGAUUUGAUGAUUCUAUGAUGUAGAGCAUGUUUUUCUCGUCGUUUUGGUAUAUUAUAUGUCAAAAACGGAGUUCAAUAACAUGUAGAAAAGUCAGUUUGAUUAUUGAAAUUGUGUUCUUGGUGUUCUUGAGCUUGUUGCCGGAAAAGUUUGAAUUUUGGCCGGAAAAUGGGUUCCGCUAAAUCUGGGCAGUAGUGGUAUAUAUGAAUAGAAAGAGGAGAGAAAGGGGAGUAUGCUGGUGUGCUUGGUUUGAGCGGAGGUGGCUCGAAUCGCCGCCAUCGGCGGCGGGAAGUCGCCGACUUCGGCCGGAUUUUCCGGCGAAUUCGCGCGACUUCUGCCUAAUUAAAGAUGGGGGAUUGAUUUAUGGGUGUGUGUACUACUGAUCUGGAGUAGAUGGUGAGUGGAGGACGCCUGGAAACGAAAAUCCGGCAAGUUAGUGUGAUGGCCGGCGGCUUAUUGCUGUUUGGUCACCGAAGUUUUGAAGAUGAUGAAGUUUUUGUACUCAGGUUUUGAAACUUAUGAAUUACCCCCUGUAACUUUGAAAAGUUGCACUUUAAACCCUGGACAAAACUUUCAAAAGUUUACAAAAUAAACCUUUUGAUUUAAUUUUCUAAAAUUGUUUUAUUUAAUUAUUUUAAAUUCCAAAAAUAGUUUUUAAUUAUUUCUUUAUUCAAAAAUAAAUCUAAAUUAGUUUAUUAAUUAAUUUUAAUUAGUAAUUAAUUAUUUUAAUUGGUCAAUUAAUUUAAAUAUUAAUUGAUUAAUUAUUUUAAUUAAUUAUUAAUUGAUUUUAAUUGAUUAAUUAAUUGGAUUUAAUUAAUCCUUUUUGAUUUAAAAAUUCCGAAAAAUAGUUUCGAGCUUUAAAAUAUUUUUCCAAAUUAUUUUCAAGGCUCGAUAAUUGUUUAUGAAUGAUUUCAAGUCCAAUUUCAAGUAUUUGGGACUUGAUUAUUUAUCCGAAAAGUGAUUCUUUUAUCGAUUUUAAUUCCGAAAAAUGUUUAAAAAUUCCAGAAAAUUCCCGAAAAAUCAUUUUUAACCCAAGACUUGAUUUAAUAUCAAUUGGGAUGGGAAACCUUAUGUGUUGUGUGUUGUCUGCUAUUGGUUGGAUGUGUUAUGUGCCGAUAGGAGAGUGAGAAAACUGUUUUGAGCAUAACUUUUGAUCCGUAAGUCGGAAUCAAGUGAAACGAAAGAGAGACAGAAGCUUAUAACGUCUAUUUUAAUAUGAUGUGACUAUAUGGCUGAGUCUAUAAGGUGAAUAAUUGUUGAUAAGUAUGCAUAAUGUGAUAAUAUGUGAUCUAAGUGCUAUCAGGUGAUGAUUAUGUGAAGUACGUGUUAGUUUUGAUAUUGUGAAGUGAUAAAUGAUUCGUAUGAUUGAUAUUGGAUAAGAAUAUAUGGAUUAUAGCUAUUGGAUUUUGUUGGUUGAUUAAUGAUUGAGAUAGGAUAAUAGGUGGAUAGUCUUAUACAUAGACGAGACGAUGUCGGAUUUUCGAUAAGGAUUUAUAUGAUAAUUGAUUGGUGAUAUGUUAUGUGGAAUAUGAUUGACUAUAUGUUAGAGUCAAAGCAUGCUUAUGUGUUACGUGGUAUCUGAUAAGUUUAAAGGGAUAUAUAAGUGGGUAUCGAUAUACGUGAGAUGUAUAUGCGAUCGAUUGUUUAGUGAUUAUAGUGUUAUCUUAUUCUCGUAAAGGAUUUGGACGAGACGUGUAUGCCCGAAGACGUUCAGAAAGUCACGUGGUGUUACAAAGCGAAUAAGGGAUGAAUCGAGUAAGCGAAGCGAAGAUGUACGGUAGAUAGAGUAUAGCCAGAGAUGGUCUAGAGACUAUGAGAUGCAUAGAUUGUGAAAGUGGAAAGAUGAGAUUGAGAUGUGAGACUGGAGUCAGAUUUAAGGCAAGUAUCCUAAACCUUUCUCUUGGAUAUAUUGCAAAUAUUCUGAUCCAUUCCUUUGGUAUAUGUUUCAAGUAUUCAUACCUUUCUUUUCAAUGUUCGAAAGUGCGAGUAUUCUGACCCAUUCUUUCUAAUCUUCAAGUUUCUAAAGAAUUUCCGUUUUACAAAUUAAUUCGAAGUUCAGAUUGUCAUUGAAGCAUGUGUUGCUCAGUGAUAGUUAGAGCUUUGAAUGAAUUGGGAUCUUCUUGAUUAUUCAACCCGCCAUUGUCAUGCUGGUUUAGCAGGCUAAAUUCAGUUGCUUAGCCGAUAAUGGAGGAUACUGAAUAGUUGAGGAUUUCCUGAACUGUGAUUUAUGAAAUGAUGGAUCAUGAUUUAUGAAUAGAUUAUUAUCAAAGUUUGAAUUGGAAUUAUUCUGUUGUUGAUGAUAUUUAUGAUGAUGUUCUGUUGAUUUACAUUGGCUUCUUGAAUUGAAUUAGAGAAUUGGAUUAUUGUUUUUAUAUAAACCUGUGGACCAGAUUCGUGGUCAUGUUAGGCCAAUGAGUGCCUUGGAUCCAGUGAUAGAGCAUGGCGGGGCCUGCUCGGGGUUAGGUAUGACUGAUCAGCAUCCUGACCUUGGUUUUUAAUUAAAAAUGUGAUAGUCCAAUUCAAUAAUUCUCUUGUGAAGGAUUGAAUUCCUCAGGUUUCUAUUGCUGCAAGGUAUUGUGAUUCUUUUAUACAAUACCUAAAUUUGUGAACUCAGGUUGAAUCUUUUUAUAUCUUGAACUCGAGAAUUUCUGUUAUAUCACUUCAGAACUUUCAUUGUUAUUAUUACUUGCUGAGCAUUGUUGCUCACUCUUGCUAUUCUCUUUUAACCAUUUCAGAAAAGCUUAAAGAUGAGAUGAUUGAUUGAGAUUGUGGAUAAGGCUAAUGCUAGGCGAGGAGACAGAGUUGAGGAGGAGACAGAGUUGAGGAUCCAGUGGUCAGGGAGUGGUGAGGAAAGUUGAUGAGAUUGGUGCAAGCUGGAAUAGUUGACAGUGAUUCUUCUUAUCGAAGAUGAUCUGACUUGGUAAGAAAUAUUGUAUAGUAUUAGUGGUGGAUUCUAAUUUCAAUACUGUAACCUGGAAGCGAUCCUGUUGUUUUGGGGGUUAAAUGUUCUCUUAAAAUUUUCUUAUUAUGGUUUUCAAGUUUGAAAUUCAGGUUUUGAAAUCAUUUGAUUUAUGUUCUCAUUCAAAGUUUUUAUUAAAUGUUUUCAAGUUUUAAAUUCUUUUGGAUUUUCAUUAUCUUUAAAUGAAAAUACCAGGUUUCAAAAGUAUUUUAAAAAGGGUUUUGUGUGGUGACGUCAGAAUCCAGACCCCCGGAUUCUCGGAAUGUCACAGUAUUAGUAAGAGAAUGAACAUGCAUAAACUGACUGAUAACAAAUAUUUUCUCCGUCUGUUUUUAGUUGUCACAUUUUAUUUUUGCUGGUUAAAUUGACUGAGUUUUGACCAAAGAUUAUAAAUUUUGUAAAUUCUUUAUAAAAAUAAAUAAUUAUCCUAUAUUCGAUAUAUCUUCUGUCCCAACAGAUUCUUUACGUUAUUUUUUAAAAUGUAUUUUAAAAUUCCUAUAAAUACAAUUCUAUAAUAUAAAAUAUAUGAUUAUAUAUAUAUACACACAUAUAUUUAUAUAUAAUAUACAAUAUAUAUUUAUAUAUAUAAUAUACAUAGACUACCGCAAAUGUAAACCAUCCCUUAAAUACAAACUAAAAACCAAUCCAAUUUAAAAUGUAGCGACAUUCUCUUUAGAAUGUGUGAUUUGUGUUACAAAAUUUGGUGAAAACAUCCUGAAAAUGGUGAAAACCUCCAGAUAUGUUCUUGUUGUCAAUUCAAUUGGUGGUGGCGGUGGCGCAGAGAGUGGAGGUGAAGGGGGAGGCGGAGGUGGUGGACAUGAAACGAGUUUUUGGCUCUAUUCGACAGAUUCCGUAAAAAUAUAGAAGCGAAAUUGGCAGUAAAGCGAGGACAAUGGUACUCGAGGUGCAAACGAUCGUGGUGAGGUGGGGGGACGGUAGGUGAGGUGGAUUUGGUGGUGAUAAGGCGGGGGCGGGCGUUAUUAGGUGGUCCCAAUACCAUAACUUUAUCAUUACUAGUGACUACUUAACACCAUCACACACCUAUUCUCAUCACUUACUAUUAUUAUUAACGUCCUACGACUACAAUUGACCAUCAAUAAUCGACAACAGAUAAUUAAAUUAAAUAAUUUUUUUAUCAUAGAAAAUAAAAAUUACUAAUUUUACCGUGUAAAAUGGUGAUAAUGAAGUAUGAACAGAUG
rnacentral:lncRNA from 1 species